GGCCCGCUAGCUCAAUGGCAGAGCAUCUGGCUCUUAAUCAGCUGGUUCGGGGUUCGAGUCCCUGGCGGGUCACCA
rnacentral:tRNA from 1 species